GUCUACGGCCAUGCCACCUCGAACAAGCCUGAUUCCAUCUGAUCUCAGAGGCUAAGCAGGGUUGGGGGUUGAGCCUGAUUAGUACUUGGAUGGUAGACCACCUAGAAAGACCAGGUGCUGCAGGUG
ensembl:rRNA 5S_rRNA 5S ribosomal RNA